AUUGAACGCUGGCGGCAGGCCUAACACAUGCAAGUCGAGCGGAUGAAGGGAGCUUGCUCCUGGAUUCAGCGGCGGACGGGUGAGUAAUGCCUAGGAAUCUGCCUGGUAGUGGGGGAUAACGUCCGGAAACGGGCGCUAAUACCGCAUACGUCCUGAGGGGGAAAGGGGGGGAUCUUCGGACCUCCCGCUAUAAGAUGAGCCUAGGUCGGAUUAGCUAGUUGGUGGGGUAAAGGCCUACCAAGGCGACGAUCCGUAACUGGUCUGAGAGGAUGAUCAGUCACACUGGAACUGAGACACGGUCCAGACUCCUACGGGAGGCAGCAGUGGGGAAUAUUGGACAAUGGGCGAAAGCCUGAUCCAGCCAUGCCGCGUGUGUGAAGAAGGUCUUCGGAUUGUAAAGCACUUUAAGUUGGGAGGAAGGGCAGUAAGUUAAUACCUUGCUGUUUUGACGUUACCAACAGAAUAAGCACCGGCUAACUUCGUG
rnacentral:rRNA from 1 species